rnacentral:rRNA from 1 species
CACGUAGGGGCGAGCGUUGUCCGGAUUUAUUGGGCGUAAAGAGCUCGUAGGUGGCUUAGUAAGUCGGGUGUGAAACCUCCAGGCUCAACCUGGAGACGCCACCCGAUACUGCUAUAGCUUGAGUCCGGUAGGGGAGCGUGGAGUUCCUGGUGUAGCGGUGAAAUGCGCAGAUAAUCAGGAGGAACACCAGCGGCGAAGGCGGCGCUCUGGGCCGGUACUGACACUGAGGAGCGAAAGCGUGGGGAGCAAACAGG